UAAAUAUAAGAGCAAAAAUAUAUCUAUAAAAGUUCGGAAGCACAAAUCAGGUUACACCAAAGAAAAUCUAGUCAUUUCUGGUUAAUACGAGCAAGCUACGUGGGAUUAAAAAUGAAUUUUCUUUUGAUGCUGUUAGUUGCUUUGUGCUUUGCAGCUGUAAUUUAUGUUGCUAUGGCAGAUGAUGAACCUAAAGUAAUGACAAUGGUUGGGAAACCCCUCUACGUUGAAGCAGUGACUGAUUCCGAUGGAAACGUCCAUUACGAGCAACAUGAAGGAUGAAUCGAUUUAAUUAGUUACUUCCAGGAAUUUAAUUGGAUAAAAGAUACGCAAAAUUACAUACAUUGUGUAGAAAAAUUAAAUAUUGAAUAUUGAAAAAUAUUAAAACUAUGACAUGCCGUUUAUUAAAAAUCUUGCAUUGGUAAUAAAUUAUAUAUCUUAUA